GAGAGGGGUAGAGAAAGACAGGGUGAAUAGGUAGAGGGAGGUAGAGAAAGACAGGGUGAAUAGGUAGAGAAAGACAGGGCGAAUAGGUAGAGAAAGACCGGGUGAAUUAGGUAGACAGAGGUAGAGAAAGACAGGGUGAAUAGGUAGAGAGAGGUAGAGAAAGACCGGGUGAAUUAGGUAGAGAGAGGUAGAGAAAGACAGGGCGAAUAGGUAGAGGUAGAGAAAGACAGGGUGAAUUGGUAAAGAAAGACUGGGUGAAUAGGUAGAGAAAGACAGGGUGAAUAGGUAGAGAGAGGUAGAGAAAGACAGGG